GACCCUGAUGGGGACCCGUAGGGUAAAGGUUUUGUUUUUGUUUUUUUUUACGGAAAAGGUUGUGGUUAGGCCCCUUGGAAAGUUGCGACAAAACUCGAGUUAGACAAGGAAGGUCGGAACUAAGUGGCCACAGCAACAAUGCACCAGCAAGCAGGGAGCGUGAUAGGAAGAGCUAAAGAGGAAUCGGGAAACCCUGGAGAUGGGUUUCACCAUGUUUCCCAGCCUUGUCUCAAACUCCUGACCUCAAGUGAUCCGCCGUCUUGGGUCUUCGAAAGUGCUGGGACAGCAGGAGUGAGCCACCGCAUCUGGCCCGGAAAGUGUUUUGGAGCGUAGAAAAAUGCAAAUUAUAGGGCUGCCUUCAAGGAUCCCGAAGGACCCACAGAUUUGCCGCAUCAGGCUCCUAUGCACGCCGAAAUGCCCAGGAGGAUUGACGAGAUUGAGGUCAAGAUCGUGGCCCAGUGUGUGGCGCUCCAAGCCAGCUCUUCCCCUUUCAAAACCAGAAAAGCCGCAUGUUUAGAUCGCUCUAGGAGAUUCAUCUCCAUUACGAUACAGGAUAUGGGCUGUUUGAAAACUAUUUCAUCAUCUUUAUCAUCAUCAUUCAGUUCAGCCACUUGAGAUUUUCGCCUCUCCAAAAAUGUUGGUGUACAAACUGGUGUGGGGCCCUGGAUUCAACAAGUAAAGAUUAUAAUACAUAAAUGUAAAACAUGAUUAUGACUUUACCCAAAAAUAUCAUCUCUCCUCUAUUUUUACAAGUUGUGCCCCAUUAUUUUAGCUCUGUUACCAUCUUUUGGUGAUACUAUUGCAAAGAAUAAAGAACUUAGAUGCUUAUCAAA
rnacentral:lncRNA from 1 species